UACGUAGGUGGCAAGCGUUGUCCGGAUUUAUUGGGUUUAAAGGGUGCGUAGGCGGUUCUCUAAGUCAGUUGUGAAAUACGGCAGCUUAACUGUCGAGGUGCAAUUGAUACUGGAGGACUUGAGUACUGAUGAGGUAGGCGGAAUGGACGGUGUAGCGGUGAAAUGCUUAGAUAUCGUCCAGAACACCGAUAGCGAAGGCAGCUUACUAAGGAGUAACUGACGCUGAGGCACGAAAGUGUGGGGAUCAAACAGG
rnacentral:rRNA from 1 species